AUUGAACGCUGGCGGCAGGCCUAACACAUGCAAGUCGAGCGAGCGGCGGACGGGUGAGUAAUGUAUGGGGACUGCCCGAAAGAGGGGGCUAACUACUGGAAACGGUGGCUAAUAACGCAUACUCUCGGAUUACCCCUAUGGGAUGAGCUAGUAGGUGGGGUAAAGGCUCACCUAGGCGACGGUCUCUAGCUGGUCUGGGGGGAUGAUGAGCCAGCAUGGGGAGGAGACACGGCCGAAUGUCGUACGGAGGCGGCAGAGGGGAAUAUUGCACAAAGGGGUCAAGACUGAUGCAGCCAGGCCGCAAGCAUGAAGAAGGCCUUAGGGUUGUAAAAUGAUUUUCGCGGGAAGGCGGUACCCGCAGAAGAAGCAACGGCUAACUCCGUGCCAGCAGCCGCGGUAAUAC
rnacentral:rRNA from 1 species